rnacentral:rRNA from 1 species
GCAAGUCGAACGGUAACAGGCUGUAUGGAAUCCCUUCGGGGUGAACUUGGCGCUGACGAGUGGCGAACGGGUGAGUAACACGUAGGAAUCUACCCAGAAGUGGGGGACAACCCGGAGAAAUCCGGGCUAAUACCGCAUACGCCCUACGGGGUAAAGCGGGGGACCUUUUCGAAGGCCUCGCGCUUCUGGAUGAGCCUGCGUCGGAUUAGCUUGUUGGUGAGGUAAUGGCUCACCAAGGCAACGAUCCGUAGCUGGUCUGAGAGGAUGGCC